UGAAAGAGAAAAAAAAAAAGGAAUUUCACAUUAAGAGAAGGGUAUUUCUGGAAAAAAUUAUCACCUCUCACUUUUGACUCUUUGACCAAACGGUUUAAAUGGACGGAAGGACUACGAAUUUGGACGGAAGAGAAAGUGAGGGACUUAAGUGUUGGGUCGCCAAAAUAGAGGGACAGAAGUGUUAAUUACGUUAAACCUGAGGGACUAAGAAG
rnacentral:lncRNA from 1 species